GAGUGAAAUGAUGAUCAAUUAUUUCCCUAUUCGUUUGACAACCGCAAUGAUGGUACCUUAUUGCUUCAAACUUGCCGAUCACUC
rfam:Physcomitrella patens subsp. patens PHYPAscaffold_39 genomic scaffold, whole genome shotgun sequence.